AAUCUGGCGUCCUCAGGGCGUCCGAGUUGUAAUCUAUAGAGGCGUUUUCCGUGCCGGACCGUGUCCAAGUUCCUUGGAACAGGAUAUCAAAGAGGGUGACAAUCCCGUACUUGACACGACGACCGGUGCUCUGUGAUACGUCUUCUACGAGUCGAGUUGUUUGGGAAUGCAGCUCAAAAUGGGUGGUGAGUUCCAUCUAAAGCUAAAUAUUGGCGAGAGACCGAUAGCGAACAAGUACCGUGAGGGAAAGAUGAAAAGCACUUUGGAAAGAGAGUUAAACAGUACGUGAAAUUGUUGAAAGGGAAACGAUUGAAGUCAGUCGUGACCGAGAGGCUCAGCCGGUUCUGCCGGUGUAUUCCCCUCGGUCGGGUCAACAUCAGUUUUGUCCGGUGGAUAAGGGCGGUAGGAAGGUGGCACCCUCGGGUGUGUUAUAGCCUGCCGUCGCAUACAUCGGGUGAGACUGAGGAACGCAGCUCGCCUUUAUGGCCGGGGUUCGCCCACGUCCGAGCUUAGGAUGUUGACAUAAUGGCUUUAAACGACCCGUCUUGAA
rnacentral:rRNA from 1 species